AAGGAGAUAGUUUAUUAAAAAUAUCAAUUUUGGAGAUUGAAGUAAAAAGUUGCUUUUUCCCUUGA
rnacentral:tRNA from 1 species